rnacentral:rRNA from 1 species
AUUGAACGCUGGCGGCAUGCUUUACACAUGCAAGUCGAACGGCAGCACAGGGAGCUUGCUCUUCAAAUCGAGUGGCGAACGGGUGAGUAACGCGUGAGGAACCUGCCUCAAAGAGGGGGACAACAGUUGGAAACGACUGCUAAUACCGCAUAAGCCCACGGCUCGGCAUCGAGCAGAGGGAAAAGGAGCGAUCCGCUUUGAGAUGGCCUCGCGUCCGAUUAGCUAGUUGGUGAGGUAACGGCCCACCAAGGCGACGAUCGGUAGCCGGACUGAGAGGUUGAACGGCCACAUUGGGACUGAGACACGGCCCAGACUCCUACGGGAGGCAGCAGUGGGGAAUAUUGCACAAUGGGGGAAACCCUGAUGCAGCGACGCCGCGUGGAGGAAGAAGGUCUUCGGAUUGUAAACUCCUGUUGUUGAGGAAGAUAAUGACGGUACUCAACAAGGAAGUGACGGCUAACUACGUG